rnacentral:rRNA from 1 species
AACGAACGCUGCGGCAGGCCUAACACAUGCAAGUUGAGCGCCCCGCAAGGGGAGCGGCGGACGGGUGAGUAACGCGUGGGAACGUGCCCUUUGCUACGGAAUAGCCCCGGGAAACUGGGAGUAAUACCGUAUAAGCCCUACGGGGGAAAGAUUUAUCGGCAAAGGAUCGGCCCGCGUUGGAUUAGGUAGUUGGUGGGGUAAUGGCCUACCAAGCCGACGAUCCAUAGCUGGUUUGAGAGGAUGAUCAGCCACACUGGGACUGAGACACGGCCCAGACUCCUACGGGAGGCAGCAGUGGGGAAUCUUAGACAAUGGGCGCAAGCCUGAUCUAGCCAUGCCGCGUGAGCGAUGAAGGCCUUAGGGUUGUAAAGCUCUUUCGUGGGGGAAGAUAAUGACUGUACCCCAAGAAGAAGCCCCGGCUAACUCCGUGCCAGCCGCCGCAGUAACAC